GUCUAUGGCCAUGCUACCUUGAACAAGCCCAAUCCCCUCUCAUGUCGGAAGCUAAACCGGUUCGGGCCUGGUUAGUACUUGGAUGAGAGACCACUUAGGAAGACCAGGUGCUGUAGGUG
rnacentral:rRNA from 1 species